rnacentral:rRNA from 1 species
GUGUCAGCCGCCGCGGUAAUACAGAGGGUGCAAGCGUUAUUCGGAAUUAUUGGGCGUAAAGCGCGUGUAGGCGGUCUGGUAAGUCUGGUGUGAAAUCCCUGGACUCAAUUCAGGAAGUGCAUUGGAUACUGCUAGACUAGAGGAUGGGAGAGGGGGACGGAAUUCCUGGUGUAGAGGUGAAAUUCGUAGAUAUCAGGAGGAACAACAGCGGCGAAGGCGGUUCCCUGGACCAUUUCUGACGCUCAGGCGCGAAAGCGUGGGGAGCAAACAGGAUUAGAUACCCUGGUAGUCCACGCCAUAAACUAUGGGUACUAGGUGUCGGAACAACUUACCGUUUCGGUGCCGUAGCUAACGCGUUAAGUGCCCCGCCUGGGAAGUACGGUCGCAAGAUUAAA